GAGGUGUGGACCUCUGGGGAACCUACCUGUCAUGAACUGUUAGAGGCUCUAGGGAACCUGGACGCUUGGACCUGCAUGAUCUGACAGAGUGAGGAAUGACAGGCAGGCAAGCCCAGCGAGGUAGUGCAAGGCAGCAGCCUGAGGCUCAGGAGCAAGAACAGAGCUCACAGCUAACUCCUUACAUAAUUACUGGUGCCUCUGAACUUUACAAAGACGCAGGAGAAGGAGCCCACUGGAAGCUGAUUCAGCGUAGACAGGAGGAGGUCUCUAUGCAGACUUGGCCAAGACACAAAAACAGGAAGAUCGCAGGACCUAAUACCAGUUCUGGAGACCCUGGCUGCAUGUCCACUUUCUAAGGGUUCAAGUUAGCUGUGCACUGCAAGCAAGCAGUCUCUCACAAAUGGAAAGAGGCCACGACACCUAUACAUCCCAGAGAAACUAUGACACAGCUCAUUUCUCCUCCCUAGCAGGCACUCAUGCAAGCAAACACCCCUGCUGGCUGAUCUCGCACCCAUCCACAAGCCACUUGUCAUAAUUCAAGGACCCAAAACAAACAAGCCACCCCUGAGACCCAUUCUGGCUGCAAGCAGCACCCCAUUCCUGGGGGAAGGGCACUCUAUACCGCAUCCCCCUCCUGGGAGGGGGUGUCUUUGCCAGAA
rnacentral:lncRNA from 1 species